rnacentral:rRNA from 1 species
CCUACGGGUGGCAGCAGUGAGGAAUAUUGGUCAAUGGGCGUGAGCCUGAACCAGCCAAGUCGCGUGAGGGAAGACGGUCCUAUGGAUUGUAAACCUCUUUUGUCCGGGAGCAAAAGACGCCACGCGUGGCGUUCCGAGAGUACCCGAAGAAAAAGCAUCGGCUAACUCCGUGCCAGCAGCCGCGGUAAUACGGAGGGUGCGGGCGUUAUCCGGAUUUAUUGGGUUUAAAGGGUGCGUAGGCCGGAGGUUAAGUCUGCCGUGAAAUUGGGGGGCUCAACCCUGUCAGAGCGGCGGAAACUGGCUUGCUUGAGUGCGUGGAAAGUAUGCGGAAUGCGUGGUGUAGCGGUGAAAUGCAUAGAUAUCACGAAGAACUCCGAUUGCGAAGGCAGCAUACCGGAGCUCAACUGACGCUGAGGCACGAAAGUGUGGGUAUCGAACAGGAUUAGAUACCCCAGUAGUC